rnacentral:rRNA from 1 species
CGUGUAGGCGGCUAGGUAAGUCGGAUGUGAAAGUCCCGGGCUCAACUCGGGAAGUGCAUUCGAAACUGCUUGGCUAGAGUAAGAGAGAGGAAAGUGGAAUUCCUGGUGUAGAGGUGAAAUUCGUAGAUAUCAGGAGGAACACCGGUGGCGAAGGCGGCUUUCUGGCUCUAUACUGACGCUGAGACGCGAAAGCGUGGGUAGCAAACAGGAUUAGAUACCCUGGUAGUC